rnacentral:lncRNA from 1 species
UUUUUCCUUUUUUUCUUCUCUCCAAGAAUCACUGCCUUACUUCUCAGCUAGCGUUGCGCUUCAAAAGGGGAUGUUUGAUAUUGGUGUCCUGCCCGAAAUUUACAUCGUUUCGCUCUGCCUUGCAGACUCAGAGGCUGUCAGACUCCACAGUUCCUCCCAUCACACAAGACCUGCUUGUUCUGCUCACAACAGGCUCAGCUAACGAUCCCCCGCUCAGGGCGAUGCUUUAUUAACAGGGGAGAAAGCGCAGCCUUUUCCUUGCCGUGGGGCACUCUAUGCUAAAAUAAUCCUUGUCGUUAGGUUAUGCAAGGCGUUGCAGUGGAGGAGCAAAAACAAUGGGCCAGCGUUUUCGCUGAUGUCUAUCUCACAUCUGAGGAUAUCUGUGGCUGCUCUCCAGGGCAAGGCAGUCAUGAUCUGCAGCUUUCCUGGCACUAGGAUUCCAAUCCCACUGGUGCUGUCAAACAGCACGCUGGAUGCUUUAAGCCUUGUAGUGCUAAGGGUGUGCCCUCACAGCCUACCUUUGCUCAUAAUCAUGCACCUGGAGGCUGCUGCUGCGGUGGUUUUUCGGUGGAGUCCACGUGCUUCUAUCUUUGUGACCUUGCACAGGUCAUCACUUUUUCGCCUUUUGCAUUCUGCCGAUCUUUUUACAAGAGAGCUCCACCAUAGAAGGCAAACAGAAAGAGUUAGUCCAUGGAAGUUCAUACGUCAGAGCUGAUGACUUUAAGCAGCGGAUGAUCAGUGCAUGGCUGGCUACAGAUGGAAACUCUGGGCUUGAAGUGUAGAUUUCUCUGAGCAUGUCCUCCCCUGGGAGAAAUGAAUUGAUAAGAAGGUAGGUGCAUUUUGGAAUCGUCUGUCAUAUACGUGAGAUGGACAUUGAUACCAAGUCUGCUUACUGAUCUCUUCAUUUGAUGCCCUGGAUAUUUCACAGAUAAUUGUGUAAUAACUUAAUGGAAAAUCAUUUAAAGGUUUCUAUAAAAAAAAAAAACACAAAACAAAACAAACAACCACCAACAAACAAACAAAAAUCCCAGCACUAUCAUCUUUCUGUAGCACAGCCUGUAACGUUGGCAAGGCUUUAUGUGGCACUUGCUCUAGGGUUUGUUUGGCUCAUGGGGCACAAAACCAGCCAAGGCAAUGAGAGAACGGGUUGUUCUGUGGCCAACUAGGUGAAAGGCUGCGUUUGUUGUGUGGUGCAGCUUUAGCAGCACGGAGAAUUUGUGCAAUGGACACAAAGGCCCCGAGUUUGAGGGUAGUCAGGAGAGAGGGGCAAAAAUGGUGAGAAACACAGCAGGCAAUAAAGCAUGGAAAUGGGGAUAUGGAGAAGUGCAAAACAUGGUAGUUUUUGUAGGAGGAACACAUGGAUGGGGUACAUCUGUUCUUCAGAAUAGUAUAGAAAUACAUAAGCUAAUGAGUAAGUGAAGGCCAUCUUGCUGAGCUAGCAUGGAAAGGGGAAAGAGAAUGCUAGUUGAGGUAUCUGCUCCGUGUUGUGCAUUGGUUUGCUGGUGUAAAGGUAAGAAACAGAUUCUGAGGAAUUAAAAUAUUAGAAAAUACUUUUUUUGUGUUGGUUGUCUUGUCCCCUUACAGAGCUCAGUGCAGAACUUAAAUAAUAAGUCUGGCAGGCUCCACAGCAGCCGAUGGGAAAUGGAGCAGGUAGAAGGGAGCAGUGAGUAAAGGGCACGUGGGAGGCAUAUGGAGCAGGUGUUUGAAGGGCACAGAGAAUGU